CCUACGGGUGGCAGCAGUGAGGAAUAUUGGUCAAUGGGCGCAAGCCUGAACCAGCCAAGUCGCGUGAGGGAAGACGGCCCUACGGGUUGUAAACCUCUUUUGCCGGGGAGCAAGCCUGAGCACGUGUGCACAGGCGGAUAGUCCCCGGCGACAAAGCAUCGGCUAACUCCGUGCCAGCCGCCGCGGUAAUUCGGAGGGUGCGAGCGUUCUCCGGAUUUAUUGGGUUUAACGGGUGCGCGGGCGGGCUAUUAAGCCGGCGGGAAAAAGUCUGGGCUCAAGCCGGUCGAGACGUCGAAACUGGCAGUCUGGAGUGGGCGAGAAGUAUGCGGAAUGCGUGGUGUAGCGGUGAAAUGCAUAGAUAUCACGCAGAACGCCGAUUGCGAAGGCAGCAUACCGGCGCCCAACUGACGCUGAGGCACGAAAGCGUGGGGAUCGAACAGGAUUAGAUACCCGUGUAGUC
rnacentral:rRNA from 1 species